UUGUUCAACGGCCGCGGUAUCCUAACCGUGCGAAGGUAGCGUAAUCACUUGUUCUUUAAAUGAGGACUAGUAUGAACGGCUUCACGAAAACUAUACUGUCUCCUUUAUCUAAUCAGUUAAACUAAUCCCCCCGUGAAGAAGCGGGGAUACCCAUAUAAGACGAGAAGACCCUAUGGAGCUUUAAAUAUCUUUAGACAUUUGAAUAUACACUUCUUAAACCACUAAAUUCAUCAUUUUGUCUUAAGUUUUAGGUUGGGGCGACCACGGAGAAAAAACCAACCUCCACGUGGAAAGAAACUCCCUUCUAAGCAAAAAGCUACAUCUUUAUGCAUCAACACAUUGACCUUAAUUGACCCAAUUGCUUGAUCAACGAACCAAGUUACCCUAGGGAUAACAGCGCAAUCCGCUUUAAGAGCUCCUAUCGACAAGCGGGCUUACGACCUCGAUGUUGGAUCAGGGCAUCCCAGUGGUGCAGCAGCUACUAAAGGUUCGUUUGUUCAACGAUUAAA
rnacentral:rRNA from 1 species